rnacentral:lncRNA from 1 species
GCGCGAGGCGCUGGGUUCGGUCCUCAGCACCACAUAAAAAUAAAAUAAAGAUGUUGUGUCCACCAAAAACUAAAAAUAAAUAUUUUUUAAAAAUUCUCUCUCUAAAAAAAUAAAAUGGACAACUUAUGCCCACAAAUUUGAUAACUUAAUAAAAUGAACUCAUUUCUUGAAAUAAUCUGCCAAGAUUCACACAAGAAGAAAUUGGCAAUCUGCAUAAGCCUAUAUCUAUUAAAGAAAUUAAAUCAAGAGUUAAUAACCUUCAAAGCAUUAAGAACUACGCCCAGAUGGGUUCACUGGUAAAUUAUAUCAAACAUUUUAAGGAAGAUAUUACCCCAGUGCACUACAGACUCAUCCAGAAGAUAGAAGCAGAAGGAAAGGUAAGCAUUAUCCCAAUACCAAAAACAGACAAAGAUUUGAAAAGAGAAGAAAACAUACCAGUAUUUCUUGUGAAUAGAGAUGCAAAAAUUAUCAGCAGAACAUUUGCAAACUGAGUCCAAAAAUCAUCAACAAAAAAAUAUUAAUACACCAUGACCAAGGAACUUUUAUCCCAGGUGUUCAAGUUUGGUUUGGAAGUGGAAAGUCACUUAAUUCAGUUGAUCACAUAAACAAGCUAAAGAAGAAAAUAUGAAUAGAUUCAAUAAAUACAAACAAAGCAUUUAACAAAACACAACCCCCAUUCUUGAUUUAAACAACAAAAAUCACACCAUCUUGGUAAAAUAGGAAUAGAGGGGAACUUUUCCAGUUUUAUAAAGAACAUCUACAAAAACCAGAUAGCUAACAUCAUAAUUAAUUGUGAGAGACAAACUUUGCCUGCUAAGAUAGAACAAGACAGGGGUAUCCCCUGUUAACACUUUUCACUUUUCAACAUUGUACCAAAAGUUGUAACAAGGCAAUAAGAAAAAAAUAAAGGAAGUGAAAGGGAGAGAUGGAAGGGUGGUAUAUAGGUUGAGAAGGAAGAAAUAAAACUGUCUUUGGAGAUGACAUUAUGUAGAAAAUCUGAAUAUCAGUAAAAAUAUAGAAUAAGUGUUUAUAGCAAGAUUAUAGGGUACAAGGUUAAGAUACAAAAAUGAGUUGCUUUUUUAUAUACCAGUUAAUGAAUCAGUGGAACUUGGUGUUAAAAACACAAUGCCGUUUACAUUAGUAUUCCCCCCCACAAAUGAAUACUUUUUUUUAGGUAUAAAUCUAACAAAAUAUGUACAAAAUCUAUGAGGAAAACUAGAAAACUAAUGAAAGAAAUCAAAGAACUAAAUAAAUGCAGAGAAAUUCCAUGUGGAUAAGAAGACUUAGCCCUGUCACAAUGUUUUUUUCCAACUCAAUUUAUACAUUGAAUGCAAUCCCAUUCAAAAUCAUAGCAAGACAUUUUGUGAACAUCGACAAACUGAUUCUAAAGUUCAUGAGGAGAAUACAUCCAACUCCAUAUUGAGGGAGAACAGAAGACUGACAGUACCUGACGUCAAAGGUCAACAGUAAAGCUACAGUCAUCAUGACAGUGUGGUAAGGCAAAAGAAUAGACAGAGUAGAGAACUCAGAAAUAGAUCCACAUUAGUCAGCCGAUCUUGACACAGGAGAAGACAGCCUUCAGAACAAAUGGUGCUGGAACAGCCGGAUACCCAUAUGCCAAAAUAUAUUUUUAAAAGAAUGUAAACAAAGACUUUUUAAAAAUACUCAAAAUUGAUCACAGACCUACAUGUAAAAUGCAAAACUAUAUAACUAUGCAACUCCUAGACAGUAAUAUAGGAGAAAAUCUCCAUGACCCUGGGAAUGGCAAUGACUUUUUAAGUAAAACACAAAAGGAAAAAUCCAUGAAAGAAUUGAUAAGCUGAAAUUCUUUCAAAUUAAAAGCAUCUUCUCUGUGAAGAUAUUGUUAAGAAAAUGAGAAGACAGCUACAGACUGGGAGAAAGUGUUUGCAUAAGCUGUGUCUGAUGCAGGUCUGUUAACUAAAAUAUACAAAGAACUCAUAAAAAUCAACAAUGUGAAACUAAUGACCCAAUUACAAAGGAGCAAAGGACCUGAAAAGACACUUCACCAAAGAAAAUAUACAGAUAGCAAAUAGCCAUAUGUUCAACUUUAGGCCAUUAGAGAAUUGUAAAUAAAACAGUGAGAUACUGCUGUACACUUAUGAGAAAGGCAAAUGUUGAAAUUCUAACAUCACCAAAUGAUGUCAAGGAUUUGCAGGGGAUCCUCAGCCAUGGCUGGUAGCAAUGCAAAAUGCCUAAGUAAAUUUGUUUUUUUAAUAAAUUAUCCAGUCUGCGAUAUUAGUUACAGCAAGAGAAAAUGGAAUACGUUGGUAGAUGAAUGGAUAAUGCAUUGUGGUGCAUUAAGACAAUGGAAUGUUAUUCAUUGAUGAAAAAUAAGUGAGCUUAAGUGCAUAUUACCAUUUAAAGGAAGCCAGUCUGGAGCCCAACCAUGGAGCCAUUCAUUUAGUGGGGGUGCAGAUUGCAGGAGCCAGCACUCCUGUAAUCCCAGCAAUUUGGGAGACUGAGGAGGAUUGCAAGUUUGAGCCCAGCCUCAGCAACUUAGUGAGACCUUGCCUCAAUAUAAAAAGAAGGGCAUUUGUGGGUUCAAUCCCUAGUACCAAAUAAAUAAAUAGGCCCAUCUGAAAAGGUGACACAGUGUUUGAUUCCACCUUUAUGGACUUGUGGAAAAGGCAAAAACUGUGGAAACAGUAAAAAGAUCAGUGGUUACCAGGGCUUAGCAGUGAGAGAGGGAAGAAUAAGCAGAGCACAGAGGAUUUUAGGGUAGUGAAACCAUUCUAUCCAAUACUGUUACUGUGAAAACUUGGAAUUAUACAUUUGUCCAAACCCAUAGAAUGUACAGCACCAGGAGUGAACCCUAUCUGUAAACUAUGGACCUUGGUAAUAGUUUAUCGCUGUGGGUGCAUAAGUUAUGACAAAUGUGUCAUUGAUGCAGAUGUUGAAAGUUGUGUGUGGGUGGAGGUGGGGAGUCUGUGGGAAACUCUGUACUUUCCUCUCUGCCAUAAACUUAAAACUUCUCUAAAAAAAUAGUCUUAAAAAAAUCUUCUAGCAGGGACUAGGGUUGUGGCUCAGCUGUAGAGCACUUGUCUGACUUGUGUGAAACACUGUGUUCGAUUCUCAGUACUACAUAUGAAUAAAUAAAAUAAAGGUCUAUCAAACAACUAAAAAAAUUUUUUUUAAAUCUUUUAGCAAAGAAAAGUUGAGGACCACAGAUGACUAACCUCAUGAGUUCUACUAAGCCUUAAAAGAAGAAUUAACACUUCUUUUCAAACUCUUCUAAGAAAUAAGAGGAGGACAUUUCAUAUCUAAGGCCAGUAUUACCCUCACACCAAAGACAAAGAUAUACAAGAAAAUUAUAGCCCCUUCCUUCAUAAACAUACUAAGUAAUAUUUAUGAUUGCAUUAAAGUGAAGAUGAAUAUAACU